rnacentral:rRNA from 1 species
AACGAACGCUGGCGGCAGGCUUAACACAUGCAAGUCGAACGCCCCGCAAGGGGAGUGGCAGACGGGUGAGUAACGCGUGGGAACAUACCCUUUUCUACGGAAUAGCUCUGGGAAACUGGAAUUAAUACCGUAAACGCCCUACGGGGGAAAGAUUUAUCGGGGAAGGAUUGGCCCGCGUUGGAUUAGCUAGUUGGUGGGGUAAAGGCCUACCAAGGCGACGAUCCAUAGCUGGUCUGAGAGGAUGAUCAGCCACAUUGGGACUGAGACACGGCCCAAACUCCUACGGGAGGCAGCAGUGGGGAAUAUUGGACAAUGGGCGCAAGCCUGAUCCAGCCAUGCCGCGUGAGUGAUGAAGGCCUUAGGGUUGUAAAGCUCUUUCACCGAUGAAGAUAAUGACGGUAGUCAGAGAAGAAGCCCCGGCUAACUUCGUG